GACGAACGCUGGCGGCGUGCCUAAUACAUGCAAGUCGAGCGGACUGGAGGGAGCUUGCUCCCAAAGGUCAGCGGCGGACGGGUGAGUAACACGUGGGUAACCUGCCUGACAGACUGGGGUAACGCUUGGAAACGAGUGCUAAUACCAGAUAGGCUGCUUGGUCGCAUGACCUUGCAGGGAAAGAAGCUAUCGCUUCACUGUCAGAUGGACCCGCGGCGCAUUAGCUAGUUGGUGAGGUAACGGCUCACCAAGGCGACGAUGCGUAGCCGACCUGAGAGGGUGACCGGCCACACUGGGACUGAGACACGGCCCAGACUCCUACGGGAGGCAGCAGUAGGGAAUCUUCCACAAUGGGCGCAAGCCGGAUGGAGCAACGCCGCGUGAGUGAUGAAGGCCUUCGGGUUGUAAAACUCUGUCUUCUGUGACGAACAAGCCUGUGAGUGGAAAACUCAGGCCCUGACGGUGACAGAGGAGGAAGCCACGGCUAACUACGUGCCAGCCGCCGCGGUAACAC
rnacentral:rRNA from 1 species